GUGCUUGUUUCGGCAGCACAUAUACUAAAAUUGGAAUGAUAUGCAGAAGACUAGCAUGGCCUCUGCACAAGGAUGACAUGCAAAUUCAUGAAGCGUUCCAUAUUUUU